CCUACGGGCGGCAGCAGUGGGGAAUAUUGGACAAUGGGCGAAAGCCUGAUCCAGCCAUGCCGCGUGUGUGAAGAAGGCCUUCGGGUUGUAAAGCACUUUCAGUGGGGAAGAAAGCCUUGGGGCUAAUACCCUCGAGGAAGGACAUCACCUACAGAAGAAGCACCGGCUAACUCCGUGCCAGCAGCCGCGGUAAUACGGAGGGUGCGAGCGUUAAUCGGAAUUACUGGGCGUAAAGCGCGCGUAGGCGGUCUGAUAAGCCGGUUGUGAAAGCCCCGGGCUCAACCUGGGAACGGCAUCCGGAACUGUCAGGCUAGAGUGCAGGAGAGGAAGGUAGAAUUCCCGGUGUAGCGGUGAAAUGCGUAGAGAUAGGGAGGAAUACCAGUGGCGAAGGCGGCCUUCUGGACUGACACUGACGCUGAGGUGCGAAAGCGUGGGUAGCAAACAGGAUUAGAUACCCCAGUAGUC
rnacentral:rRNA from 1 species